AAAGAAUGAACUCUUUCGUUUACCCAAUGAAUCUAAACUUGGAACUGGCAGGUGGCGUUUAGCAGUGGCACCCAAUCUUUAUUCUUAAAACCCAGAGGUGUUCUUCACUUUUCAAGUGGAUUUAUUGAUGAUACUUGCUGGUUAAACCAUGAAGAAUACCAAUACAUGGAUAAGUGGAGGGUUAUAAAACUGUAAUACCUCAAGGCAUUUUCAUUCACGCAUGCGAGGCAGUUCGUGAGCAGACGAACCAUUGAAAGAGCCUUGCGCAGUCUAGCAGCAUUCGGUCAGAUAUAUGCAGAACCCGAAACAUUGUUUUGACAAGUACUGUCAUAUUUCGAUUGCAGGUUUUCACUAAAUACCAAGUGUCAGAACUGACUGUUCAUGAAAAAUCGCGAUUUUGCUCAAAUCUGACUUUUGGCUAAAACACCUCAUUCCAGCCCCAAAUUUAAUAAGGAUCACGAAAAUCCUAUUCGUUUUGUUAUGGAAUCCCUAUUUCCGAAGAUAUUGGCUACUUCCAGUUACUUCCGGGUGUUGUAGCUUUUAUUCCGUGUAUUUUUGCCAUCAACAGUAGAGGCUGACCCCACGAGCAACGACAGUUUUAGCUAAAGAUGUUUAGCUUCUCGUGCUGCAACUAUUUGUAGUUGAUAUUCUAGGAUGAAAAACUAGAUGACGUUGACAUGCACUUUGAUAAAGAUCACAAAUGACAAGUAAAAUGCGUGGUAAUCAAUCGAUGCUGUCUGUUCUACUACACUUGGGGAAUAAUGGUUCAGUGAUGGGGUACAACACCACUCCAAUCCAUAGUGGCAAGUAGUUCAGUAUAGUCGCAUGGUGUGGCGAAGCAGAACGCUUGUGGAGUGUAUCAGUGUUUUUGUGUGUAAGUGUAUCUGUUGGUUGGUGGUUUUGUGCAGUGCUUACUUUUCUGGUGAAGGUUAAUGGUGAAAAGGUUAGUUCCAUUUUUAAUUAUUUCCAGUUAUUUUUGCCGGGUUUUUGCCCGUCAGGCAUUCUUUUUUCCUGGCUAUCGUUGCCCGUGAGGCAUGGUUUUUGUUAUUUUUUUUGCGGCGGGCCAUUUUGGCCCGGCUACCGAUGCCCGUGAGACACGUUGUUUUUUUGUUUUUUUGCGGUGGGCCACUUUGCCCGGCUACCGAUGCCCGUGAGGCAUAUUUUUAGCCAAAAGUCGGAUUUGACCAAAAUCGCGAUUUUCAUGAACAGGAAAAUCGCGAUUUUUGACGAUUUCGGGUAUUUUGAGUUGAUACAUCGAGUCGAAAUCGACCCCAAAUUUGACGAGGAUCACGAAAAUGGGAAUCUUUUUUCUGACAGACCAAUAAAUAAGGAGUUAUUUGACAUUUAAAAACCGAAAAUUAAACCGGAAAUAGAAAUUCCGGAAAUCUAAAAAAUAAGCUUUGUUCUCCUUUAAAAGGUUAACAAGAUCUUGAUAGUUGUAAAAGUAAACUAUUGUUAAUAAAAGUUAUGCGGUGUUCUAAAAGUACAAUUUCAGUUCUGACACCUAAAUAUACUUGAAUCGUAAAAUCAAACAUUUAACACGAUUAAACCCGUUACUCACUUGGUAUUUAUUGAAAACCCGCAACCGAAAUAUCACAGUACUUGUCAAAACAAUGUUUCGGGUUCUACUAGUAUCUGGUUGGAUGCAGCUAGACUGCAAGGCUCGUUCGUUUGCUCACGAACUGUCGCACAUGUGUGAAUGAAAAUGCCAUGAGGAAUUACAGUUUUAUACUUUUAUGACCCUCCACUAAUCCAUCUAUUAGUACUAUCGUAGUCUGUAAGCUGGGGAUCACCCAAAAAGCCUGGUGACAAUUCCGCCGUAAAAGCAGACUAAUGGCCAUCCAAGGGUCGCUGGCUAUAAUCGCCAACUACCUUAGAGGGACCAGAGAAGCAGCGAGCCUCGAAGAUGGGGACCCAUCGUCACCCCCGAGUGGCAGGAUCGAAGCACCAAUAUCCGCAACCGUCACGGCUUUACCAUAAACCAUGUACAUUAACAUUGCUCGCCUAGCUUAACAUCGCUCCCUUCCAGCUUCCCCCCUAAAUUACUCCUUCUUCUAGCUUCUUUGGCAUUCUCAUCUUGCCGAAUCUUCAUGUAACAUACUUGUUUGAUAGUGUCUUGAUAGCCCCGCCCCAUUUUGCCAGAUAUAACGGUGUCACGUAAGCGCAAUACACACAAUCAUGAAAAAUCGCGAUUUUGGUCAAAUCCGACUUUUGGCUAAAAAUAUGCCUCACGGGCAUCGGUAGCCGGGCAAAGUGGCCCACCGCAAAAAAACAAAUAGGGAAAAAGUCUCUUAUUGCAACGAAAUAUUUCGUUGCAAUAGAUUCUACCAAGCAAAUUAACUAUUUCUGAAGCAGACGAACUGUAUGACUAACUCAAUUUUGCCCAUUGUUUUGAAAAGUACUGUCACUGGCAUCACCAUCUAGCGGAAUUCUGACAGGAAAAUAGUUUUUUUUUUUUCAAUAACACGUUUUGUGUAAAAAAUUUACAUGAUUUGGAUUCAAAAUUCAACAACAAUUACAAAAAAACAAUACAAUUUACAAAACAGUCGGACUUACUUCUUUUAUGGAGAAGUGAGAGGAUUUUAAGUUGGGUUUCAAAGUAGAUGGAGCCACUGCUGCAUAUUUUCAAGACAUGACAGAACCUGUUUCAUUUCUGGUUUAGCGUCCACGGAGAAUACCUGCGUCAUUAAGUUCUUGUUAAAAUUACACUCCUGAUGUCGUGUGGUUUUACCUGGAAUUUAGCGUCUCAGAACUGUGCUCGAUGUGCUGUGAUGGCCACAGGACCCUGUUUGUGACAGAAUGCAAUGCCACAGAUGUUUUGUUGCCACUGUAAAUAAAAGAUCUUUAGUGUCA